UGCGCGGAGACACCUCGUGCUUGGUCGAUCCACCUCGUGCUUGGUGGAUCCACCUCGUGCUUCUACAUGUCAAGCUGCAUGUGCAGCUUCCAUGCACAGCGACACCUCGAGCUUCUGUAGACACUCAGCUUGGUGGACAGUUGACACCACGUUCUGAACCCAUGCAACAAGUCACCUCGAGCUUCUCGGUCCAUUGGCCUGAUUUCAGUCCUUGGCGGUAAAUAUUUCCCGAUCCUUCGGCUUCAUCGAAGACUUGCAUAAUACCGAAAUUAGAGUUUUCGUCUAAUUUCGGGUUUUUCCGUCGUGCUUCGAUCCCGUCGUGCAUGCUUCCCGUCGUGCUUCCUUUCCGUCCUGCUUAAUUCUGUCAUGCUUCCAAUGUCUUCAAAAUAAUAUUCCGCUAAUACGAAGUUUCGCGGAAAACUUCGUGCUGAAGAAACGUCAUUCUUCACAAACGUCGAGCUUCUAAACCGUCGUGCUUCCAAAAAUGUUAUUCUUCCAAAAUGUCUGUCUGAUCAAUCUAAGGCAUCUUCUAACUAUGGUCGAGCAACUUCUUCGACUCAUAGUUAACUCACGAUCACUUCUUCGCCACUUCGUACUUCAAAACUUUUCGAUUGAUCCUUAUCACCCGCGACUCGACCACCACAAAGAUACUCGACCAUUCUCUUUUUUUUUUUAACGGGUUUCUACAACCUCCUUCCCUCUAAAGUUGGUCCUCCACAAACCCGAAGUCUCCGGACGUUUAGCCAAAUGGGCUGUGGAACUAGGGGAGUACGAGGCUCUAAUCGCAGGACUAACUCUCGCCCAUCAAAUGGGGGCAGAAAAC
rnacentral:lncRNA from 1 species